rnacentral:rRNA from 1 species
AGCGAACGCUGGCGGCAGGCCUAACACAUGCAAGUCGAACGGACCCUUCGGGGUUAGUGGCGGACGGGUGAGUAACACGUGGGAACGUGCCUUUAGGUUCGGAAUAGCUCCUGGAAACGGGUGGUAAUGCCGAAUGUGCCCUUCGGGGGAAAGAUUUAUCGCCUUUAGAGCGGCCCGCGUCUGAUUAGCUAGUUGGUGAGGUAAUGGCUCACCAAGGCGACUAUCAGUAGCUGGUCUGAGAGGAUGACCAGCCACACUGGGACUGAGACACGGCGCAGACUCCUACGGGAGGCAGCAGUGGGGAAUCUUGCGCAAUGGGCGAAAGCCUGACGCAGCCAUGCCGCGUGAAUGAUGAAGGUCUUAGGAUUGUGAAAUUCUUUCACCGGGGACGAUAAUGACGGUACCCGGAGAAGAAGCCCCGGCUAACUUCGUGCCAGCAGCCGCCGCCG